rnacentral:misc_RNA from 1 species
UCUCCGUUGGUGAACCAGCGGAGGGAUCAUUACAGAGUUGCAAAACUCCAAACCAUUGUGAACGUUACCUAUCCCGUUGCUUCGGCGGGCGGCCCGGGCCCCGCGCCCGGCGCCCCCCGGCCCCCCGUGGGCGCCCGCCGGAGGUAAACCAAACCCUUGAAUUGCAUGGCCUCUCUGAGUCUUCUGUACUGAAUAAGUCAAAACUUCCAACAACGGAUCUCUUGGUUCUG